AACGAACGCUGGCGGCAGGCUUAACACAUGCAAGUCGAGCGCAUCCUUCGGGGUGAGCGGCAGACGGGUGAGUAACGCGUGGGAACGUACCCUUUGCUACGGAAUAGCUCCGGGAAACUGGAAUUAAUACCGUAUGUGCCCUUCGGGGGAAAGAUUUAUCGGCAAAGGAUCGGCCCGCGUUGGAUUAGCUAGUUGGUGGGGUAAAGGCCUACCAAGGCGACGAUCCAUAGCUGGUCUGAGAGGAUGUUCAGCCACAUUGGGACUGAGACACGGCCCAAACUCCUACGGGAGGCAGCAGUGGGGAAUAUUGGACAAUGGGCGCAAGCCUGAUCCAGCCAUGCCGCGUGAGUGAUGAAGGCCUUAGGGUUGUAAAGCUCUUUCAACGGUGAAGAUAAUGACGGUAACCGUAGAAGAAGCCCCGGCUAACUUCGUGCCAGCCGCCGCGGUAA
rnacentral:rRNA from 1 species